GGGGCCUUAGCUCAAUUGGGAGAGCGCCGCGCUGGCAGCGCGGAGGUUAGGAGUUCGAUCCUCCUAGGCUCCAUCA
rnacentral:tRNA from 1 species